rnacentral:piRNA from 1 species
UGCGAGAUCUCUACUGGCACAGGAAUUCU